AAAAUUUAGCGAACUCUUUAACGAUACGAACAGUUUGGUGGAACCGACCCUUAAUCUUACUCUAUGGUCAUACCUAAAUUAAAAUAUUUUACAGGAAGAAGUAACUGAACUGGCUGUACUACCGACACUUGAUAAUGAUGACAGCCCAUCUAUUUUUAUACUACAUGAUGAGUUUGCUCAACAAACUUGUUCCAAUGUUGAAGAUUGGAAUCGGCCAGGGACAUCGGCUCAACCCCCAGUUUUUCCACCCUUACCUGUGGACAGGAAUAACCAAGACUUGGCGGGCAGAGAGGAGCCUGAAAUAGUUAACAGCCCAGACAGGAGUGAGGCCGGCAUGACACAGACGCAGGAG